rnacentral:rRNA from 1 species
GACGGACGCUGGCGGCGUGCCUAAUACAUGCAAGUAGAACGCUGAAGAGAGGAGCUUGCUCUUCUUGGAUGAGUUGCGAACGGGUGAGUAACGCGUAGGUAACCUGCCUGGUAGCGGGGGAUAACUAUUGGAAACGAUAGCUAAUACCGCAUGAAAUUGCUUAUCGCAUGAUAAUUAAUUGAAAGAUGCAAUUGCAUCACUACCAGAUGGACCUGCGUUGUAUUAGCUAGUUGGUGAGGUAACGGCUCACCAAGGCGACGAUACAUAGCCGACCUGAGAGGGUGAUCGGCCACACUGGGACUGAGACACGGCCCAGACUCCUACGGGAGGCAGCAGUAGGGAAUCUUCGGCAAUGGGGGGAACCCUGACCGAGCAACGCCGCGUGAGUGAAGAAGGUUUUCGGAUCGUAAAGCUCUGUUGUAAGAGAAGAACGGGUGUGAGAGUGGAAAGUUCACACUGUGACGGUAUCUUACCAGAAAGGGACGGCUAACUACGUGCCAGCAGCCGCGGUAAUACGUAGGUCCCGAGCGUUGUCCGGAUUUAUUGGGCGUAGAGCGAGCGCAGGCGGUUAGAUAAGUCUGAAGUUAAAGGCUGUGGCUUAACCAUAGUAUGCUUUGGAAACUGUUUAACUUGAGUGCAGAAGGGGAGAGUGGAAUUCCAUGUGUAGCGGUGAAAUGCGUAGAUAUAUGGAGGAACACCGGUGGCGAAAGCGGCUCUCUGGUCUGUAACUGACGCUGAGGCUCGAAAGCGUGGGGAGCAAACAGG